rnacentral:rRNA from 1 species
UACGUAGGUGGCAAGCGUUGUCCGGAAUGAUUGGGCGUAAAGCGCGCGCAGGCGGUUUCUUAAGUCUGAGGUGAAAGCCCCCGGCUCAACCGGGGAGGGUCAUUGGAAACUGGGAAACUUGAGUGCAGAAGAGGAAAGUGGAAUUCCAAGUGUAGCGGUGAAAUGCGUAGAGAUUUGGAGGAACACCAGUGGCGAAGGCGACUUUCUGGUCUGUAACUGACGCUGAGGCGCGAAAGCGUGGGGAGCAAACAGG